rnacentral:misc_RNA from 1 species
CGGCCCUGAAAAGCAGCAGCAGCAGAACAGACAGUUACAACUAUAUCACAAACCAUGGACAACCAAAUCAACGAGGCGCAGCAGCAUCGUCAUUGUUGCCAUGGCGGACAACAACAACAACAACACCACCACCACCAUCACAACGCGGAUGUCUCAGUCGCUGACAAGUCGGCCGAUCCUUUCGCCGGCAACGCCACCGCCGCCGUUGUCGAUUCGGCAGAUUCUUUCGAUCACGGCGGAAGCGGAGGUGGCGGCGGAAGCGGAGGCGGACUCGUCGGAAAGCGACCUCUCGUCUUCGACAAGAUGGAGAGCCUGGUGAGGGAGAUGCAGGAUCCCGAGAACGGGGGUGCCAGUGAGGAGCCAAAAGUUGUUCCUCACUUCCAUUCCGUCAGCUUUUAUGGGUUACGACAUGAUCGAGUGGCUGAUGGAGCGUUUAAAUAUUGAAGACUCUGUGGAGGCGAUCCACAUGGCCAAUCUUCUGUGUCAGCACGGCUACUUUUUCCCGGUGGGCGAAUGCAACAAGAGCCUCUCUGUGAAGGACGACAGCUCACUCUACCGCUUCCAGACGCCGUAUUAUUGGGCGUCGCAGAACCACAGUCCGGAAAACAGCGAGUACGUCAUCUACCUGUACAAGCGCUCGUUACGCAACAAGCAGAAACAUGGACUGGAGGAGUACGAAUUGGAGGCACUAAGUCGACUCAAAAGGCAGAUGGCACACAAAUGGGAGUUUAUCGUCAUGCAAGCGGAAGAACAGGUGAGGCUGGCCAAAGACCGGAAGAAAGGCGACAAGAUCGUAACGGAUAGCCAAGAGCGGGCCUAUUGGAGGGCGUACAGGCCGCCGCCCAGUUUCCUCAAUUGCCUGGAACAGCCGCCUUUCCCCACCAACUCGUCGUGGAUUUCAUUGGCGCCAUCUUCGAAUCAGCGUGACGACUCGGCCGGAGCUUCUUGCACAACCGCAUCGUCCAAUUUUAUCCGAAAGUGGAAGAACAUCGAAGAGAUCAAAACUGAGGUGGAGUUUGUGAGGGGCCAGCUGGUUAGAGCGCGGAUCAAGGUGUCUGUGGCGGCCGAGACGCUGCAACAACACUGCGCCACCUACAGCGAAUACGAUCCGUUUCUUCAGACGCCCCAGCCGUCUAAUCCUUGGCUAUCGGAUGAUCCCACCUACUGGAUCCUUAAUGCUGGCGCAGUGGAAGUGCCGACUGAGAAGCGAGCCAAACGAUGGGCCAUUUCCAUCGAGGAUCUCGUGACGGACCAGACCGGUUUACAAGAGCUGACCAACUAUCUACGCAAAGAGUACAGUCACGAAAACAUCCGGUUCUGGUUGGCUACCAAUCAGCUGAGGAGCGGACCCGCAUCAAAAAUCCUCCAUCGCGUCCAGGAAAUUUACCAGGAAUUUUUGGCACCGGGAGCCCCGUGCGAGAUCAAUAUCGAUGGGCGGACAAUGGAUGUCGUUCAGCACGAGAUGAAGCGUCCGUCCCGCUUCACUUUCGACAAGGCCGCCGAGCACGUUUACAACUUGCUGCUGAAAAAGGACUGCUACCCUCGAUUUGUCCGCUCCGAUCAUUAUAAACAGCUGCUGGCCAAUGCUCUCCAACCGUGCCAGAAGAAAAGAUUCUUCAGUUUCGGUGCGACGGGCAAGAAGAAAUCGAUCGUGGCGGCCACGUCAGGAGUCAGCGCGAUCGGAUUACCCUUGGGGAAUUUGCAGCAGCUCAACCUGUCAUGCGGAUCCAGCGCUAUUAGGCGGAGGGGAAGUGUGGGCGAGAGGAGUUUGUCCGGUUCACCGCCGGAUCAUCCGCAUCAGCAAACGGGGGUCGGCCCUUCUGCCACCAACACGAGUCUCCUGCUGGCCAGCUCAUCGGCCAACACUGCCGCCGCUUCGGCCGGAAUCAAUAGCAGUUCGGCGAUGAGUUCUACCGCCGGAAGUUGUGCCAACAUCAGCAUCGCUCCUGGCGACGAAUGCGACACACCCUAUCGUGGGGAUAUGCCGUGUCAGCGUACGACGUCCACAGCUCAGCUGGUCUCUCCUCUUGCUCUUCCUCCUCUCAGUUCUCCUCCACCUCCACUGCUGCAAUCGAGCAGUACAAGUGAAUCGACGUCCAUCAUUCCGCCGCCGGAGAGGGAAGACAACGUCUGCCCGUGGGAGACGAUUAAUCCACCCCCUCCGCUCAGCGCCGGAAGCGGGCGGACAAAGGGCGUUCUGUUGACUCCGGGCCCGUCAGUCGAUCAAACGGAUGGACACACUCCGAUCGUCAGUAGCCCAUCGGCCAAGAAGAGCAGCUUCUCCUGCAGCGUCGAGAGCCAUCCAUCGACGGAUAUGGAUGUCUGUCCUUGGGAGUCUGCAAGCGCAGCUCCUCCGGCGGCAACUUCUUCCUCCUCCUCCUCCGGUGGUGGCGGUGGUAGUGGCGGUGGCACCCGCGUCAAAACGCCCGUUGCCCAGCAAAAGAGUACGGCCGAAGUGUUGGUCUCGGACGACGUCGUCUGUCCGUGGGAGUCUCAAGACCUGGAAACUCCAAAAAAUCCGACAGUUAAAUCGCCGAGUGAAGUGACAGUGAUCGUGUUGAAUCCAUCAAAACAAGUGUCGCCCGUCAUUAGUCUGGCCGGCAGUAGUGGUGGCAGUGGUCAUCGGCGAAAAGAAUCCGCUUCCGGCGUAACCGCCAUGCCGGAACCAGGAUCGGAACAGUCGUCGACAUCGCAACAACCGGAUAAAUCAUCAUCCAAAAUCAGCGAUAUCUGCCCGUGGGAAGACGACACCCUAACGCCCACCUGGCUUUAACUUGAAUGGAAUAUUGUGUGCUGUUCAUUGUGCGAUGUGUUUGCAAGACCCUCAAAAAAAUCCCACUUAUAAAUAUUUAUUAUAUUAUAAAUAAUCGAUCCGAGACAAGCAAACAAACAAACCCCAAUCCCACCCGAUCCCGGAAAACCUUCUCAGCCCCGCCCUUCCGAUCCCCACCCCCACCCCCUCCAUUUGCCAACAUUCGCUCACCUGUCUCUUCUUCGUACACUCACGAAACACCAAGCGCUGAGCACCUUUCAAUUUCUUCCUCCUUAACUCAAAUCUCAAAAGAGAAAGCUGUAAACUGGAUCAGCCUUUCGUCAAGACUUACGCCACGCUGGGCUAUUUGUGACGGAAUGUAAGCGGAUGUGUGUCUCCCCCUACCCCUCCUUAACGCACCUUCUCUCGAGUUUCCAUCCGGAGCCCGGAAACAAAAGAAAAAGAAAAAAACCCCAAAAAAACAAAAAAAAAAUAUGUUGUAUUAAUCAAGUUGUAGAGAAAAUGUCUUGUCAAUCAUGUCUUGUCAUUGCCAUUCAUUUUUUGAACACUGUUUUUAAAACCCAAAACUAUUUUCCCCGCCUAACCCUUUUUCCAACGCUACAGCUGAUCGUUCGUUUUCUUUUUGGAGGCGUUGAAACUCCCCCAAUGACGUCCGCAACUCUUUGAUUGACAAGAGAUCAAUGUUCAUUAAAAAUCUGAGCCCCAUAAGAUUUGAUGAACAUUUUUUUCAUUUCAGAGUUCAAAGAGGCAGACACCAUUUCAAAACAAAAAAUGCGGCAAAUUCAAAUCAAGUCAAAGUCUUUUCAAAUUCUUAAAAAAAUGGGAAAUCAAAGGUCACGUGGUUUUAAAAGCGGUCAACCACCAACAACAUUUUGUUCCCAACCCAUCCGAUUUCGGAAGAAAUUCGCCAAUUCAGACGCCCCAAAAAAAAUGAAGAAGAAGUUUUAAAUAUUCACAUUUACUCGAGAAAAAACCAAACAAAGAAAGAAAUCUAAUCGUCAAUUUAAUGUUAUGGCUAUUUUACCUGUGCGUGUUGUGUGUAUGUGGCGCUUCACGUCGGAUCGAGUUCCCCUCUCUCUCUCUCUCGCUCGUUCGUCGACACUUUCUAUUCCGCCUGGCUUCCGUGUCACACGCGCGUUCGCUUCGGUGUUGUGUGUGUUGUUCCUUUUUAACUUGGGUAAAAGACAAAAUGACAAAAAAAAAAUGAAUAUAACAAGAAAAAAAAAGUAAUUUUCAAACACCUCCACCCUACCACUAUUCCACCUUUCAUCCCAUACAAAAAAAAAUCAAUAAAAGUUAGUUGAUAGGUUCAUCGUACUCUAAGAAAAACUAAAAAUAAAAACUGUUUUAAAAGUUAGUCGGUUAAACAGCCGGUUGGUGAUUUAAGAUUCCACGUCCACGUUUAAGUGCGAAAACGUUUGACGUUUCUCUAUCUUUUUUUGUUUCAAAAUCAAAUCACCUUCAACCUGUUUCUCUGCGACGGCGCAAAAAAAAAUUAAUUAAUUCUUCAAACGUAAAAAAAAUGUGUGGCGUUUCGUGUGAUUUAUGUUUUUGAUUUGAUUUUGACCGAACUUGUCGUGUCUCGUCGUCGUCGAAAUGGUCCCGUCAUUCAUUUGUUCUUGUUUCACGAGUGGAACAAACCAAAAAAAGAAGAGAAAUAAAACCCGCGAAAAAUAACAUAUUUGAAAUGGCUUUUGAACCCGAGUCGGAUAUUGGUUGGUUGAACAAUUUUCCAACGAAUUUUAACUUUAAACUUGAUGAAAGGGCCGUCCGAAAAAAGAAAAAAAAACGCGCGAGACUUUGAUGUUUUCCCACUAAAUAGAAAAAGGAGAUGAGGAACAAAAAGAAAACGAAAGCAAGCAAAAAGUGUAUCAUUUAGAUAAUCGAUUUCUUCUUUCCGUUUCUGUCAUAUUUAGGACCAAAAUUCUUUUUCGUGUCCCCUUCAAUUUUCCAAUGCGUUCAUCAAUGAACAAAAACGUGAAAAAUGCUGCCGUAGAUGAGAUUUCUCUCUCUCUCGCCCGAACAUCCCCAUUCCCCGCCCUACUUUGCAUUCGCUCUCUCCAAUUUUCUCGUCUUGAUUGAAAUUAUUUAACCAAAAAUUAAAACUCUCAAAAGAAAAAGAAAAAAAAAAAAAACAAAAAAAAAAUAAUGGUCAACAUAAUCACAUAAUCACCUCAAUGCUAUCGUGUAUGGAUGAUGUCAUCACUGUAUUUUUGUUGCUGCUCUUGAAUCUGAAAUUUGAAAAAAAGGAAGAAGAAUCAAAUUUUGAGAAAAGGAAAUCGCAUGUUUUUAUGAUGUACGACGUUACACACACAAACAACUAUAUAAUCUCGCUAAACAAACAAAAAAAUGUUACCAAAAAUUCAAUUUCGUGUCAUAUGUGCGAUUAUGUUCAACUUUAGAGCAGUCAAUAAAGUAGUUAUUUAAAAGUCAAA